UUAAAAAAAAAAGGUGCAGUAAAAGUUUGUUCAUGUGCUUUCACACAAAAUGACAAUACUUUGGGCAUAUAGGCUAUAGAAAAUACAAGCAAUGAUUUUAGCCGUCUUGUUACGAGACCACAACUAAGCGAGCAUUUAUUGUAAUUUUUUGUUAAUAAAGGAGGGAUAGGCUAUGGGACAUGGACAUACCUUAUGCAUAAUGCAAUGAACUAAUGAACCCAGGGUGGGCAAGUGCACCUUUGCCCCCACCUAAAGCCACUUCUAUAAAGAACGUCACUUGAUAACUUAGAAUAAAAUGUAUUUAGCUUGGAGUGGCCAAACUUUGGUGUGGUCAAAAGACAAUACAUAGCCUCGAGAGAAAAUGAAAUAAAGAAAAGCAAAACUAAUUAGCCUCCAAUAAAUUCUACUAGAACUAAUGUUGGCUAAUACAUCACGACAGAUAAUCCUUGUUGAUAGAGAUCAUUACUUAAUUCCCCUAUAUGUACUACACAACACAAAAAUUAUCCUUAGUUUCUGGGGAAAACCAGUCACCACAGUCUAAAAGAAAUGACCACUCACUUGCUCGCAGCUUUGGCAGCUCCAACUCCACCAUGCCCAUCAAAAAUUCCAAACAACCCAAACUGCAGGGCAAGAGUUAAUACAGAUAAACAUAAGAAAAACUACAGUAAUCUGCUUGUAAUAAGACCUGUUCAACACCAGGGAGGGGAUACUGGCAGGAGCACACGUCCUCCAUAGGAAGCCUCCUCCCACCUCGACGAAUGGACAUUGGUUCAGAAGCAAUACCAACUCCAAUUGAUAUUUGACGCUCAACAUGUUGUGAAAUCUGAACCUACAAUAUGUGAGAUAUGAUGGGAAAUAUACAUCACAUUUAGGAUUGAAAAUCAAAAGGGAGCACACAAUUUCAACACAAAGUAAUACUAGGUAAAACAAGUAGCUCCUGCUAGCACAGUUUCAUUUACAAUGUCUAAUAAAAAAGAAUGGGGCGAGAACCUCACUUGCUGGGAUGGUUAAACAAUGCCCAAAGCAGCAUCGAGAUAAGCAAGGUCAGCUUUUUAAGAUUUCAAUGGAGGUGAGAAGGGCCUUACAAGUCAAGAUACUCCUAAAUUUGAAUAAAGAACACUAUAAGACAACUACCAGCGACCUCUUAUUAGAAGUUAGCACACAAAGACUCUACUGACCAUCUUAGAAAAGUCAGUCUCAUCAAAAUAAUUCAAAUAAUUAUUUAUUCUAAUGAAAUCACUAAAUAUUGUUGAUCUCAUGCAAGUUGAAGACCCCACUAAAAUGAAAACAAGAACGUCAGGAUAGAGAUCUGUUGUUUAACUCAUAGCUACAAAUUACAAGACCAAAAGGCAAAUUGGAAACAAACUGAAUAGAAGACAAAAAACAAAGCAGUGACAAGCAUAGAAAAUUCCUGAAUGCUGCUUCAGCUAGUUGAUUGGCAGCAACAUACUAGAGACACAUAGCAAGAGGAUUUCAACGGAUUGAGGAAACACUACUCUACAAACAAAUUUAUUAUGCAAUAAUAGAUGGGAAGGCUUGGCUAUCUUAUCUCAUUAUAGCAAUCACUAUACUUGUAGAUUCAAACUUAAGAAGAUUAAGACAGCACAGAGAUAGAACUGUCUUACAAAAACUUUUGAAGAAGUGCCAAGCGUAAUAACAUCUCCAUCUGCAAGUUCAACAGGAUCACUCCAAUUUCUAGAUCCAACAUCUGGAUGCUGGACCAACUGAGAGUUCAAGAAUGUUCCGUUUAAGCUACCCAUAUCGACUAGCUCCCAUUUUGAAGUCUGCAAGAAGCCACAUAUUAUAGAUUUCUAAGAACGAAGAGGAUGUAAGAGAAAUACAUUAUAAUUUACUAAAGCAAUUAUAGAAACAUGCCAAUAAGUGAAACAAAAAAAGGGCCACAGGGGAUCCUAUUAGUGGGAACAGAAGAUAUUAUAAAACAAUUAAUCAUAGUUUGCAUCUUCAUGAUCACUAGCCUUGAUCAGUAGAAAUAAUUAUCAAAAAGCUUCCAGGCAUAAGAAACAGCGAAGGGAGUAACAAUAUAAAGCUUACAGCCUUACAUUCAUGUUCCACUUGAUAAGCGCAUGCUUUCCUGAAACCUCAGAGUCCUUCAAUAGCAAAUCACUUGGGGAAACUCUUCCAACGGUCAAUGAAAGCUUUGAAGUAUUUGUCGACUGUCGGGAACAACAAAGCCCGCGAGAGGGACCGGCUAUGACCUCCAAGUCUAGGCUGCUUCCUGCAAUUCUAAACAAAAAUCGUCAAUAACGUGCCAUAUAGAAAGCAAUUUCCUAAAAAGAACCAUAUCUAUGGAAGCAGCUUACGAAGAAAAGGAAUAUCCUUGACUGAAAACAUAUGAUUCCUGCCAUUGUCAUUAAUAGUGUCGACACCAUUGUUUAUGUCUCUUCGUACAUGUCUCAAGUCUUCAAAGCUUGCUACUGCUGCAUUCUUAAGAGUAUAACAAACUCGUGGAUCUUCAGAAGGAUCAUUUGUUACAUCAAGUACCAAACUAUCUGAGCAACAAAACUCACUUUGUCUUACCACAAAAAUUUAGAACAUAACAGGCAUUGACUAUGUAAUAUAGUUCUGUACCUUGACUAAUAUGAGAUUUAGUUGAAUGAACCCUCUUUUUAUUGAUAAAACCACGAGCGCUUGGUGAAGUGUUAUUUUCAUCAAUUUGAAUUCUUGAUUCCUCAACAAAAUUUCUAGCCAAAUCGUAGCUUUGGCCUGGCACAUCAUCCACAUUCUCGGAGAAAAGAGGCCUGUUGAGAUCAUCAGCCUGCAAAGGAAGAAAUAAGACUGAUGAUAGAACUCUGUAUAUUCUGCACUUUUAAUAUUGCAAAUAACUAAUUAGUGGAAACAGGUGCAUAGCAUUUUAUCCAAAAACAGAUAACCGAGGCAGCAAAUAAACUUCCUUGUAUUUUUUAACAUAAUUUUAUAACACCGUGUCUGAUAUUUAAUCUAUUUCAAGGAAAAGCAACAAACAAAGAAAAAGUUGGAAACUCAGAUUUUGCAACCCUUGGUUUGCAUCAACAAAUCUAAGAUUAACAGCAUAAGGCUGACUAACAUAUUUUUAUAGCAAUACCGACAUUCCUCAUACAUAAGUAGAUAACAUUGUGAAUAACUAAUUCAGAAGUUAUGCAAUUGGUAAAAAUCAUUCAACAUUGUGAUCAAAUUGGUCCUGAACCAAGUCAAAGGACAGUUUCGAAUGUAUCAGAGUAGCAAGAACACCGAUAAUGCAUUUUUAUAGAACAACUCCAUUAGUUUGCCCUUUGGUACUAAGCCUCAUACCAACCAUGGCCGAGUCAUUUAGUUUGCCUUUUGGUAUGACAUUAAACUGCAAAUUCACCACACAGUAAAUCAAAAAAGGAACAAAAAGGGACUCCAGAAACAUGUUUAUUGUAAAACUAUUUGAAAAGAUAUGUAGACUAACUAUUCGAAAAGGUCUGUGUAACGAUUUCUUUCAUCAUGUCUCAAAUCGGCUGCAUAUAGAAGUAGGCAAAAGGCCACAAGAAGCACUCUUUAUAGCUAAGCCUUGUCUGAACCGAGCAAAUUGGGUAAUGAUUCAAUUAUCCCCGGUGACACUUGUUGGAGUUUGACAUUCAUCGCAUUCCUUUACCAUCCAAAGUAUGGUAAUGACACCAGCAUUCACCAGUAUAUUCCAGUUCAGAAGUAAAAGAAACUCAUCGAAGACGCUAUCAAGAAGAUGUAGUGAAAAUAAAUUAAGGGACCUGUUGAGCCGAGUAAUGAUGCUCAAAAUUACAAAAUGUCAAGUCCUGGCAUAUGAAAACAGAUUUGCUAGUCAAAUGAUUUUUCGCUGAGACGCAAUAGCCAUCUGGUAUUUUCAGGAAUACAAAGGCCCCGAGAGAAAGCCUCUAUGCUGAACAACAAAAGUCGAAAUAUUAUUUUGAUCAGACAAGCAAAUGUCUUUAAAGAAAUACAGGCUUACAUAAUAACAAACACGAAACGUAGAACCACACCUGCGAGGUUUAUUCACCGGAAAAAGAAAACCCUUUAAUAGCCAGCGAUUUACCACAAAAUCAAAAAGACGAAAAAGACUACAGCUAGAGAUUAACAAAAGAACACAAAAAAAAAAAAAAAAAAAAAAAAAAAAAANAGCAGAAAGAUAGGCGCCGUACGGGCUUUAUAAAUAAAACCGUUAAGUCAGUGACAGAUCGCAUGCUACCAAGUUUUCCAAAAAAAAAAAAAAAAAAAAAAAAAAAAAAAAAAAAAAAAAAAAAAAAAAAAAAAAAAAAAAAAAAAAAAAAAAAAAAAAAAAAAAUUCAUACUCACGUUAUUGAUGGGAGGAGAGGGAGAGGGGCAGUAGGAGUGGGCGAAGAAGCGCCAGGGUCGGCAGGUGAGAACGAAAACGAGGAGGAGGAGGACGACGACGACGACGACGACGAUGAGGGCGGAGACGCCAAUGAGGCUCGGAGCCAUCUCCGUCGAGAGAGAUACCAAAAAGAGAGAAGAGGCGCGAAGGGCCGUUCUGAAAGGGUCGCAUCACCCCUCUUCUUCCUUCGUCCGCCCCACCUCCACCGCGCCCACUCCACAUCCCAUUGCUUCGGCUUUCUUUCUCAUAAUAAUAAUAGACGCAUCGUUUUGGGAACAAGCCGUCCUCGGUUUCAUCCCUUUAUUUAUUAUUAAAAAAUACUAGUCAAAAAAAAAAAGAAAAAAAAAAAAACCUAAAAGAAUUGUAUAAAAUUUUCUAGGCCAAUUUGCAUAAAAAAUUCACUAAUUUUGAGCUUUUAUAAAAAUAGGACACUUUUUUUAAUUUUGCAGAUUCGGACCAAAUUUUUCGCCAUCUGACCAAAAUGCUCCUUGUCUCUAUCCGCCUCACUCAUAUUCGCUCAUAUACAUAUACCACAAAAUACGGUCCCUAGGUGGGCAUUAAUUAAAUACGCCGUAAGCUUGGUUACGCAACCUCCUGCUCAUCGAAAUGCGAACCAAAUCGGCCUCGCUAUUUGCCGGCCCCGGUGUUUGCUGUUCUAUUUUUAGAAAUUAAAUAUAUCAAAACUAUCUGACAAAAACUACACGGCAAGCAAUAGAAAUAAUAGUGCAACGCGAAGAAGCAACGCGAAGGAGCAACACGAAAGAGCAACGCGAAGAUAAAUGGUGCAACAACCCUUCUAAUAGUGCAACUUGCAGGUAGUACUAGUACAAACUCCGCCGCUCACAUAUACAAUACUGGCAUUCAAUUUUCUCCCUCACCAGAGCAACAUCCCACUUCCCCGUAAGGCAGUCAAGCAGUCUU
rnacentral:lncRNA from 1 species